rnacentral:rRNA from 1 species
AAUGAACGUUGGCGGCGUGGAUUAGGCAUGCGAGUCGCGCGAGAAUCGUAGCAAUACGAGGAAAGCGGCGAAAGGGAGAGGAAUACGUAGAAAUCUGCCCUCGGGACUGGGAUAGCGGCGGGAAACUGCCGGUAAUACCAGAUAACGUCUUCGGACCAAAGGUGUGAUUCCGCCUGAGGAUGAGUCUACGACCUAUUAGCUUGUUGGCGGGGUAAUGGCCCACCAAGGCGACGAUGGGUAGCAGGUGUGAGAGCACGACCUGCCUCAUUGGGACUGAGACACUGCCCAGACACCUACGGGUGGCUGCAGUCGAGAAUCUUCGGCAAUGGACGAAAGUCUGACCGAGCGACGCCGCGUGCGGGAUGAAGGCCUUCGGGUUGUAAACCGCUGUCGUAGGGAACCAAAUUCACGGGGGUUCUCCCCUGUGAUUGAGAGAACCUAGGAGGAAGGAGAGGCUAAGCUCGUGCCAGCAGCCGCCGUAACAC